GCGGUGUGACGGCGCUAGGUCACAAUGGUCACAGAGGGUUAAAGGUGGCCCCCUGGGAUGUUUUAGGUGGGGGCUUGAGGAAGGCAAGCAGUUGAGCAUCUCGGCCCAGGUUCAGGAGUGAGAGGGUGAACGGGCCUCUCUAUGAGGCCAGGGGCGGGCUGGGGGCCCUUCCUGAACGCGCCACCACGUCUCUCUCUGUGCCCUUGGAUGCACGCGGUUCGGAUCCAGACCCUUGGCUCAUACCCAGCUGGCUGAAAGGACGAAGGGUGGGUAAUCAGCGCCCCCAUCCCUUCCAGGUUGCCCCUGCCAGGGUGCUCUGGAGCAAGAAGGAGGCCCUGCGCUCAGCCACCUGACCGCCAGGCCUGCUGAACACCCCGCGGCCUGCGAUAUGCGGAGCCACGCAGAGCUAUAUUGAAAACAGAUGGCCAUGAACUAUGCAUCCAGGUUACCAUAUUACCCAGGGGAAGGCUGCAUGCAGUACGCGUGAUUACCACCUGCACAGAAAGCUACAGCUGCACAAGGGAGGGUGUGCUAAUUCAAGUGCACACUGAUCUUUAAGAACGGCUCUAACCAGAUUAGCAAGAGAAGUGAUCAACAGACGCGCCAUAUGCAAAUGCUGACUGGGAGCCUCCUAUCCACCAGUGCCAGCCUUGCAAGACCUGGUGCUAUGCUGCUGGCCCGACCAGUUGUGAGGAGCUUGCCAGGUGUGGUGAGACACCCAGGGAAGCAGCGGGGCCCUACAAAGACCUUGGAGCUAACCAGGCAGCUUCUGCUCAAGUGUGUAAAGAUAACCAUCUACAGUCAGAACAAACAAACAACAGCCCCACCUGAAACUUGGCACUGGCCACUCUUUUUCCCCUUCAGCUGCGUCCCCGUCAGUUCUAAGAGAUCACUCUACUCAUCAGAAAAACCUUGUUUAGCCCUCAAGACCAUCAAUGGAGCCUUACACUUGUAGCCAGGCCAUCUCAGCUGAGGAACACAAGCGACUUACCUGUGUCUGAAGCCAAGCCCAGUAACCAUAGAGCUCCAGGGAGCAGGAGACAGCCCCCAGGUCUACAGCAGCUGCCUUCCCAUCGUGUCUGGGGCCACCUCCUCUAUUAACACUACAGGUGAAGAAGUCCAGGAUGCCGCCUGCAAAUCCUGUGUUCACGGAAGCACACUGUCUCUCCCGGUCACAACAACUGUGUGCUUAACAAAGGAGCAGUGGUGGUAAUGGCAUCAAACCCAAGGCUUUUCCCUCAGAUCUAUCAGUAAUACCUCAUUUCCGCAAGCCUGUGUCUACAAGUAUUUUCAGAGCUCUUUUGCCUCCAUCACUUAACCUUAUUUGUGAAAACCAAAUAUUUUCCACUCUGAACUUCUCUAAUGGUUCAACUGGGAGAGUGAUUGUUUUCCAUGGCAAAGCAGUCUUCACUUUACAAACGAGACCAAGGACCUCUCAUCUCUUCUUUGUAUAAAUAUGAAUUGAGCCCAUUUUGCAGGAUGAAAAGAGUUCUGUGAAUGGACGGUGGUGAUGAUACUACAAUAAUGUGCUUAAUGUCACAGCACUCUACACUGAAAAGUGGUGAAGAUGGUACAGGUUCUGUUAGGUGCAGUUUGCCACGACUGUACAGCGUCUGUUCUUGUGCAUUAACUGUGGGCCUGCACUGUGCUCCCUGCUGUGGCCAUGACGCUGAGUGACACCUUCUGGUCCAGUGGGACAGUCUGGUCUCCUGACCAGGUCGUGCUUCCAGUGUGGCACAGUGCUGUGCAAGGUGUGUAAGCUAUGUCACUGUAACUGAAAACCUGGCAGUGGGCACCUAAUUUACCUACAGGGACUCUGAGAAAGACUAACAUUGAGAGGUGAUGUUAACAUGAGAUGGGUCUGCUUAUUUCAAGCUGGCAGAGAAGAGUUUCAGCACUGAGGGAUUGGCCAAGGCAAAGGGUACGAGGUCAGGAAUAAUUCUAUGUGUCUGAGCAAUGAUGGAAGGAAGGCCUGGAAAUUCAUGGGGAUAAAGUAUGGAAGGACAAGAAGUUGGAGAGGAGCCAGCAUCCAGAUCAUUCAGGUGGAAUCUUAGCUCCCUGACCAGGGAUUGAACUCGCACACUCCUUAUUGGAAAGCAAAGUCUUAACCACGGGUGACCACCAGGGAAGUCCCUCAUCAUGAUCUUUAUGAGAAUAAUUAUCAUCAUCACCAGUUGCUGAGUAAAAGGAAUAUUUUCUUUUAAGAAGAAUGUCCACUCACAUGUUAAAGAAAUGAUAGAUUAAAAAUCACCAUUUAACA
ensembl:lncRNA